CCUGCCACUAUACCUGUUUUUUUUGUAUCUGGUAUAUUCCAGUGGUGAGCUAAGAUUAAAUCCCAGUUCUAGGAAACAAGGUAGUUCUGUAUGUGAACAGCUUUGUGCCGAAAGGCUGGGGACAUUG